AUUGAACGCUGGCGGCAUGCCUUACACAUGCAAGUCGAACGGCAGCACGGGGGCGACCCUGGUGGCGAGUGGCGAACGGGUGAGUAAUAUAUCGGAACGUGCCCUGGAGUGGGGGAUAACGUAGCGAAAGUUACGCUAAUACCGCAUACGCUCUCUGGAUGAAAGAGGGGGAUCGCAAGACAUCAUGCUCCCGGAGCGGCCGAUAUCUGAUUAGCUAGUUGGUGGGGUAAAAGCCUACCGAGGCGACGAUCAGUAGCUGGUAUGAGAGAACGACCAGCCACACUGGGACUGAGACACGGCCCAGACUCCUACGGGAGGCAGCAGUGGGGAAUCUUGGACAAUGGGGGCAACCCUGAUCCAGCAAUGCCGCGUGUGUGAAGAAGGCCUUCGGGUUGUAAAGCGCUUUUGUCAGGAACGAAACGGACUGGGCUAAUACCUCGGUCUAAUGACGGUACCUGAAGAAUAAGCACCGGCUAACUACGUGCCAGCCGCCGCAGUAA
rnacentral:rRNA from 1 species